AGAUCUCAGAUGAGGUAAGAUUACCCGCUGAAUUUAAGCAUAUAAUUAAGCGGAGGAAAAGAAACUAACUAGGAUUCCCUUAGUAACGGCGAGUGAAGCGGGAAGAGCUCAAACCGAAAAUCUCUGUCCGGCAACGGGCAGCGAAUUGUGGUCUAUGGAGGCGUGUUCAGCGUGCGGCGCCGGCCCAAGUCCGUUGGAAGACGGCGCCUGGGAGGGUGAGAGCCCCGUCCUUGGCUGGAUGUCCGCCGCGUACGAACCGCUCUCUAAGAGUCGGCUUGCUUGGGAGUGCAGGCCUAAGUGGGUGGUAAAUUUCAUCCAAAGCUAAAUAUCUGUGGGAGACCGAUAGCGAACAAGUACCGUGAGGGAAAGAUGAAAAGAACUUUGAAAAGAGAGUCAAAAGUACUUGAAAUUGCUGAGAUCGAAGGGAUGGCAUCUAGUAUUGGCUUGGGGAUUGAUUCGGGACCGGGUUCGUUCACGGUCCGAUUGUAAUUGGCUUUAGUCUUUGCGGUCGGGUCGCUGGGCGGAUUCGAGCCUGUCCUAUCCCCGAGUCUAGGUCAGGAUGGAUUCCUGGUGGUUUAGAAGUGCCGCGGGAAGGUGGCUGUCGCUUCGGUGGCAGAUCUUAUAGCUCGUGGCCGAUGGAUCGCCGGGGAUUGAGGUGCGAAAAUUCACGCUUUGCGGCUGGGAGUUUUGUGGAAUGGCCGGGCGGGUUCGGCGGGAUGCAAUGCCUCGCGUCGAUCCCCGUCUACCAAACUGCAGCAACUCACUUGUGGAUUUGGGAUCCUGACGAAAUGGUUGUCAUUCACCCGUCUUGAAACACGGACCAAGGAGUCUUACAUGUAUGCGAGUGAUCGGGUGGGAAACUCGUUCGCGGAAUGAAGGUGAAUCAGGGAUCGACGGUGGUCGCAAGGCCAUCGGCAGAUUCGGACGGCU
rnacentral:ncRNA from 1 species